CAGUAGCCGCGGGAACACGUAGGUGGCAAGCGUUGUCCGGAAUUAUUGGGCGUAAAGCGCGCGCAGGCGGAUAGGUCAGUCUGUCUUAAAAGUUCGGGGCUUAACCCCGUGAUGAGAUGGAAACUGCCAAUCUAGAGUAUCGGAGAGGAAAGUGGAAUUCCUAGUGUAGCGGUGAAAUGCGUAGAUAUUAGGAAGAACACCAGUGGCGAAGGCGACUUCCUGGACGAAAACUGACGCUGAGGCGCGAAAGCCAGGGGAGCGAACGGGAUUAGAUACCCGCGUAGUCCCUGUCUCUUAUACA
rnacentral:rRNA from 1 species